rfam:Oryza glaberrima chromosome 1 Oglab01_0016_4, whole genome shotgun sequence.
AAAAAAAGCAAACAUUGGGUUUUCGUGUCCAAUUUUAACUGUCCGUCUUAUAUAAAUUUUUUUUAUAAUUUGUAUUUUCAUUGUUGUUAGAUGGUAAAACAUAAUUAAUAUUUCAUGCGUGACUUGUCUUUUUACUUUUUUUUUUUAAUUUUUUUAAAUAAGACGGACGGUCAAACGUUGAGCACGAAAAUCAGGUUUGUAACGUACU